GUGCUGUCUUCUGCAGCACAUAUGCUAAAAUUGAAACAAUUCAGAGAUUAGCAUGCCCCCUGCACAAGGACAGCAUGCAAAUUCUGUAUUUAAAAAGAAAAUAA
rnacentral:snRNA from 1 species